rnacentral:piRNA from 1 species
GGGACUUCGAGUAAGACUUCUGUU